GUUAGAAUGGGGUGUGGGUGUUGGAAUAGGGGCACCUCAAGAGGCAGAGCAUGGGCGUGCAGGGAUGGAGGUCUGCUGGAGAUGGCUGACACCAUAUCCUCUCAGAAAGCAGAUGAGACUACACUGGAGACCAAAGCAAGCCAGGAUGAGUUGCAAAAUACCAUGGCCCAGCUGAGCGAGAUGAUGCAGGACUUGCUGCAGAGGAUGUUCCUGCAUGUCCAGGACAGGCAUAAAGCCUCAGAGCUCACCAGAGAGAUGAACUCCAAGGCACAGCGGCAGCAGUCUUGGAGGCUCGGCAAGCAGUGCCACUGCCAGGGACCUUACUUUGACACCAGCAGUGCCAAUAGCCUCAAGAGGCACCUCUUUGAACCCAUGAAAUGCAUCUCCUGUGACAGACCUCUGGCCGCAGCCCCAAGGCCGCCCUUGGUGACAGUCCGGAAGGCCAACCUGCACCUCCAGUCCCAUCAGGCCAGUGCUGGUGGCUUCAACUGCCUGGCACAGCAGCUGCCAGGGAGGUGAGGCCAGGGAGCUCCCUGCCUAAACCACUGGGGUCCCUUUCCCUUGGCAGGAAUGGUAACAUCAGUGCUCCCUUCCCAGGGAGCAGAUCAGCCAGGCUCCCACAGCUCCCACCAGGCCACCAUCUGCCUCCAGCUCCCUCACCACCAUCUGUCCCUUCAGAGUCCCUGCAGAAGUCACCUACAAGAAUGUGAGCCCCAUCCCUGCGUGAUGCGUGUGCUGGAAACCAGCUGGGCCCAGCUGGGGUGGGAUGCUGGGAGCUGAGCAUCUCCAAUGGCACCGGUUGCUCCUUCCUGUAGGGUCAAGUGGAUAUUUUGGGCAUUGACGGAAUCAUCUACAAGGGCAG
rnacentral:lncRNA from 1 species